rnacentral:ncRNA from 1 species
AAGAUGCCAAGAUGGGCACCCCCCCGAGGACAAAAGACUUAGUCCUAAACUUACCGUUAAUUCUUGCUCAACAUAUACAUGCAAGUAUCCGCAUCCCAGUGCAAACGCCCCAUGUGCGCCUUAUCAAGGUACCAGGAGCAGGCAUCAGGCACACCCCCCCCCGUAGCCCAAAACGCCCCGCCCCGCCACGCCCCCACGGGUACUCAGCAGUAAUUAACAUUAAGCAAUAGGCGUAAGCCUGACUUAGUUAGAGCAGCCAGGGUUGGUAAAUCUUGUGCCAGCCACCGCGGUCAUACAAGAGACCCAAAUUAACCGUACACGGCGUAAAGAGUGGCCCGCAGACUAUCAAAACAGAUUAAGAUCAAACCCUAACCCAAGCCGUCACAAGCCUCAAGAUUCCCUGAAGCCUAACCUAAAAAUGAUCUUAACACCAACGACCAAUUCCACACCACGAAAGCCAGGGUACAAACUGGGAUUAGAUACCCCACUAUGCCUAGCCCUAAAUCUUGAUGUUUUCCAAACAUAAACAUCCGCCCGAGAACUACGAGCACAAACGCUUAAAACUCUAAGGACUUGGCGGUGUUCCAAACCCACCUAGAGGAGCCUGUUCUAUAAUCGAUGACCCACGAUCCACCCGACCACUCCUUGCCAAAACAGCCUACAUACCGCCGUCCCCAGCCCACCUCCGUGAGAGCACAACAGUGGGCCCAACAGCCAUGCCCCGCUAACAAGACAGGUCAAGGUAUAGCCCAUGGAGCGGAAGAAAUGGGCUACAUUUUCUAAAAUAGAACAUUCAACGAAAAGAGGUAUGAAACCUACCUCUAGAAGGCGGAUUUAGCAGUAAAGUAGGAUAAUCAAGCCCCCUUUAAGCAGGUCCUGGAACACGUACAUACCGCCCGUCACCCUCCUCACAGGCGCCACAGUGCACUAACUAAUAUAACCCAGCCAG